rnacentral:rRNA from 1 species
AAUAGAUACCCGGGUAGUCCACGCCGUAAACGAUGAGUGCUAAGUGUUAGAGGGUUUCCGCCCUUUAGUGGCUGCAGCUAACGCAUUAAGCACUCCGCCUGGGGAGUACGGUCGCAAGACUGAAACUCAAAGGAAUUGACGGGGGCCCGCACAAGCGGUGGAGCAUGUGGUUUAAUUCGAAGCAACGCGAAGAACCUUACCAGGUCUUGACAUCCCACUGACCGGUAUAGAGAUAUACCUUUCCCUUCGGGGGCAGUGGUGACAGGUGGUGCAUGGUUGUCGUCAGCUCGUGUCGUGAGAUGUUGGGUUAAGUCCCGCAACGAGCGCAACCCUUGAUCUUAGUUGCCAGCAUUUAGUUGGGCACUCUAAGGUGACUGCCGGUGACAAACCGGAGGAAGGUGGGGAUGACGUCAAAUCAUCAUGCCCCUUAUGACCUGGGCUACACACGUGCUACAAUGGAUGGUACAAAGGGCUGCAAGACUGCGAAGUCAAGCCAAUCCCAUAAAACCAUUCUCAGUUCGGAUUGCAGG